rnacentral:lncRNA from 1 species
UGCUUCAUGUUUUAAAUUAAAAAUGGCAAGCUUAUUAAUCACUGAGAAAGUCUACAAAAUUACUCAUUUUGAAAUAUUAGCAUUGCAAACCUUUUCCCAUCAGUAUAUAAAGCAAACACUUCACAAUGACAUUUUGUUGCCAGAUUCUGGGUUUUGAUUAAGGCAGGCUUAUGAGCUGUGUUUGGUUUUUUUUUUUUUUUCCCCCACCAAACAUAUUUGUAACUCAUUGUAACAUAUACAAAAGAGUAAUUCUCUUUUGCAUAUGGCUAUGCUUUAGAUUUCAUGUUUAAGUUAAAUAUUAAAUAAAAACAGCUUCUUUUGUUGCAAUAGAAUAUCAAAAACACAUGUAACAUUUUUUAUUAAAAAUUCACUUGUUUUACAACUUGAAAAUUACUUUUAUGUCAGAUUUGAGUGGACUAGCUUGAUUUACAGCCAUUACUUGGAAACUAGCAUUCACUGUUUUAAAAGAAAAUCUGAAGUUUAUGCCUAUGCAGUACUGAAGGCAAGGAGAAGAUAGAUGUACUAUUUCAUUAAUUUAAACUUCUUAAUUCAUCUGAUUGUUGAUUGCUUCUUUUUUUUUUAAAUGUUUUUCCUGUAUAUUUUUUCUUUUUUUUAACAAAUGUACAUAACUAAUAGAAAACAUUUGUGAAAUAUGCCCAUUAUACUCUCUAAAUUGUUCCUGCAUGCAAUUCCUUUUUCAUUCAUGCAUUUGUUCAGGUUUUCUUAUCCUUAAAAUCAAAACCAUCUACUCUGCCUGAUACUGAUCCCUUUCAGGCCUGCUCUACUGGAGUUAAGAGCACUGAAAAUGUGUUUCAGGUUUCAUGCACAGCAGUGAGCAGCACUACAGGCAUGCUCUGCCCUAAGCUCAGGUCACAUGAAGGCUAUCAUAGUCCAGGGCAAAAAAACAAGCUGCCUUCUGUAAACCUUCCUUUAGUGUUGAACGUUGGAUGGUUGGAAAACACAUUUUGGGCUCGACUAGAAAGACUUCGGGUCUCUGAUCAAGAAGGAGAUGUGGGAGGUAGGACAGGCAUUAUGGAAGAGAGUUUUCUUUUUAAUUUGUAGCAUAAAGUCUGACUAAUGAAAGAAGGCACCCUUAGCUGAAAUCUUAUCUUAUGGAAGUGUGAACAACUUCCUUCCCUUGCCCGGUCUUUCCUCUCAUUACCAGACUACAGACUACUAUCCUCUCAUUUCUACUGCACCUCUUUCUACUCAUCCCUCACGUCUCCCAAGUCAUAGCUACAGGUGAGCUGAUCUCAACUGGAAAACCAGUGUAAGGCACUUUUCUUAUGGGGGAAUUUGAAGAUCAUGAGUCUAGGUGUUUUCUUAAGCGAAUAUAGCAGGCCCCAGUCCUAGGGAGAUAAGGAAUACUAAACAGCUCAUACAGUUAAUAUCAAUAUGCAUUACAAAACCUCUGAGCAAUCUGGUCUAACUAAAACUCUCCUCCUGUAAGCAAGUAAAUAUGCUGAAACAUAAGUAUUUGGUUAUAUUUCCUUUAUUUCACAUUUGAGAUACGCUAGCAGCUUGUGGAUAAUGCAGUGCUAGAUGGACUUGGUUUGGGUACUGGAAACUGUGGUUCUCUGCCUCACUGUGCGGAGCAGGCUUGAUAGAUACUUGGGCUGUACAGUAUAAAUGACAGAACAUUAGUGUUCAUUCUUGCACAUUCCAAAUGCUAUUUCUAAGAAAAACUGUACAUUGAAAGUUUAUAUAAGAUGGAGAAUGUGACAUUUUAAUGCCAGCCCCAAAUGCUUUACUAUUUAUAACAUAAAAGCAGCAUAUAUGUAUAUUAUAAAGGCCUCAAGCUUAGCUCUGAUCACUUAUCAGUUUACACAAGUAUAGUAUUUACAUAAUUAGCUAUAUGCAUAUUUCAAAGAAAAUCACCCAGUGCUUACAAUGAAUCAUCUUUCUGCUGAAUUUCCCAGACAGAAACUAUGUUUGAAUUAGACAUUUUUAAAUAUACCUAGCUAAUAUUUUAAAUGAUACUUUCAAAAUCAGUUUAAUCACUAAGUUAAAUAGGAUACUUGUUUUUAACUUGACAGAAAAUUUAUACCAUUUUGGAAGAUUAAAUUCUCAAAUUUCUGAAGGGAUGUUGUGACUAAAAUUCCCAUUCCAAGUUGCAAAAUUUAACUCAGACUUUCCUCUAAAACUGUCCAUAAUACUGCAUAAAAUCUGAUUUUCUGUUAGUUUGUUUUAUAAGUUAGGAAGUCAGUGGUUUUUCCUAGAACUGUUUGAAAAAUUGAUCUAAUCAAGUCCCGAUUUAUGUAUUUUUUUUCCACAGCUGAAGCUGUGUAUUAAGAUGGCUUGUGAAAUAUUUUUAAGCAACCUUUGCUUCUAAGUAGAAAAUACCUGUGAAACGACCAGUUGAGGAAGACACAGAGAUACAAAUGAUACAAAAUUAGAAAGGAGAAAGAUAAAUCAUCUGAGGAAUUAUAAGUAAACAAAAUUACAGUUGAAAUCCCCAUCUGUAAAAUCACUGUUUUUUUUUCUUUUUUUUUUUUUUACUGUCUCACACAGGGGGAAAAAAAAAAAAAGCAGCAAAUGUGAGACACCUGUGCCAGCAGAGGGUGAUUUUCUUGAUCACUAAACCAACCUUUCCCUCCCUUCUUGUUCUACCUGCUGUUCAAUUGAAGAUGGGAAGGGGAGAAAAUGUUGCAGUAAAUGAGAUAGAAGGGGAACAUCAUUUAUACAAUAUUUAGAAACACAUACAUUAUUUACCUCCUCUGUUUGAAUCUUAUAUAUUUGUAUAUUAUCUUCGAAAAAGCCAUCUUGAUUUCUGUGAAUGAAAGUAGGGAAAAAUGGUAUCCUCCUAAAGAUAGCAAAAAUUUUAGCUUACUAUCCUGGGUCCUGUCAGUAGUCAGGAAAGGUCUAUAUUUCUGGGAAUGGUGGUGCCUCUUUGUCAUUUCAAUGUCCUGAAUUGACUGUCUCUUCUUUUUAUCCUGGAUUUUGACUCAAAGAAAACAUUAUGAUACCACAGCCCCGUGCUCACUGGGAUCCUCAGGAAUUAACAGGUUUCCCAAGCAUGAUGAUACUUGGACCUUCUCAUUUUUUGUUUUAUUAUAACCACAAUUUGCAAGACCUAAAACAUUUACAGAAACAGUUUAGGUCUUGGUAAAUUAGGAAAGAAUGCAGCCAGGCACAGUAUCCUUUUAGCUUGGUCCUUUAGAAGUCAAGCUGGAGUGGGACUUCUAAAUGUGUUAAAACUGACCUGUUUGUUAUUGUCUUCUCACGCAACCAAACUGCAUGUUGUACUGACAAGAGUGCACAUCUUCCUAUGAACUUCAGUGUUUAAAGUCAAGGAAGUUUAAUCCCAUCUGAUCGUGAUCUGGCUUGGCACUUUCUGGAAAUGUUUAUGUUGCUGAAUACGUACACAAAUUAAAAAGCGCAAAGACACUCCAUUCAUAAUGGUACAAACUCUUACAGUUUAUUGUUAGCCCAGUUCCUGGCUUUGUUACGGAAAACUACAUCUGUUUUUUUCCACACAGUUCCUCUUGAGAAUGGUCUAGCUUCAAGCGGAAUCCAUGUGAGCCACUUGGCUUCAGUCCCACAUUCUCUUUCAUUUAGCAUACAGCAAUAGCUUGUUAUGCCACUAAUUUGUCAUUUCUCAUUUUCCUCCAGUCAGUAUCUAGAAGUUUUUCACUGACCACAGUAAAACCCAUUAAAACUUGUCUGAAUCUGUCUGAGGCAACUAACAGGGCCAUUUGAAUCUUUGUUUUAUCCAGCAAGCCAAUCCCCCCAUUCUACAUGCUUAAAACAUCAUUCAGCCUUCUGCAUCAAUGUCUAAAAGGAUCCUCUACUCCAUCCAAAGUCUUCCUUUUUUUUUUUCUCCUCUUUCUCGCCACCAGAAAGUUCUAUGUCUCGUGGGCAACAGUUUUGUAGAUUUUGCAACAUCUCAUUAUCUUCUGGACAAAUGAAACUGCAUCAAAAGAUUCACUGGAAAUUCUUGUUUGGCUAAGUUUUCCUAGGAUAAAGGGUUUUUCUGGUUUGAAGAUUUUUGGUUAAGCAUGUUUGCUGUACUGCCCCUUUAUCCAGCCUUAGGAUGAAGCAGCAAUAUGAAGGAAGUCCUAUUCUUCUAUCCGCAGUUGAAAUUUUCAAGCAUAAUCCUCUGGUAUCAGUAUUCACGGUUCAAAGAGUUCCAUCAAACAUCACCACAAUCAGUUUUAGACAUAUGCUUUUGUCUUAGAUCUUUAAUAUUCCUCUUUAUCCUAAAGAAGGAAAAGGAAGUAACUGAUGAAAAUCAAGAUGAUUUGAGAGAUGAAUUGUUGAAUAGGGAGAGUAGUAGUUGAAUAACGGGAUGUUUUGCUGGUCUUUCUCUUCUGAAGCCUGUUCCACUUGUUGCAGCUUGUCAUCUACAUCUCUUAUUCUACUGGUUAAUGCCUACUAAGAUCAUUUUUCUCCUUAGGUGUCUUCAAAUGUGAGUGGAUCUGUAUAGCUCCAUUCACACACAUACAGACACACGGAUAAGUUGCUUGUCUGGAGUUAACCAAGAAACAAACAAUGCUGACAGUAUAAUUCAGGUUGUUUUGACUAAAAUUCAGGUUUCUACUUCUGUGUCAAUAGUUCAGAUGAAAAAAUAUAGUGAAUGUUGGAAGAAAAAAAUUCAGGUAAGGAAGUAAUCACUCUGGUACUGAGAGUUUAGGGAAUACUGAAACAAAUAGGAGGUUUGCGCUUCUUUUUGUUUUAUCUCAAACAACAGCAACAAUAAAAUCAGAGCUAUUUGGAAUCAAGGCAUUCUAUUUUUUUGUUAAUUAGAAUCUCAUUUUGUAUUUGUGUUAUUUAAUGCUUCCUAAAAUCUUUUUCAUAUGGAUUGCAAGAGUCUGGAUGAGAGAAGAGACUGAGCUGGAUCUUGAGCAUGAUUUACUACAGAGAGCUGUUUUCAAAUAAAGGCAACAUCUGAGGCAGUAUGCUGGAACAGAAGAGCACUUCAAAGGAGAUGUUCUUCAGCAGAAUCUUGGCAACAUACAGGUGCCUGAAGUUAGCUUUUAAUUCAUUAGGAAAGGACUUUGAUAACUGCCUUUAUUGUAGAUGAUACGAAUUAUUUCAUAGUGUCCACUGACUCACUUGAUGCCUUGAACAUCUGGAAUGGAUUUCUUAAUUACAUGUCAAGAUAGAAAUUGCAUUAAUACAUUUUUAAAGGAUGUUGGAGUUGGUUGCCUCAGCUUAAGGAAGACCAGAGUUUUCUAUUGAUUAAAAUGAUAUUGAUCAGACUGAAUAAGACAGUUUAGGCAUAGGUUGUUUAAGAUUUUCAGUAAUAUUUGAUACUUUUUGGGCUAAAGACUGUUAGUCCUUUUCAUAGUUAGUUUCUUCUCAUAGAAAUCUUUUCUUUCCAUGAUCAGGUCUGUGUAACAUUCUCACUUUUGUAUCAGAGAACAGUUCACUUCUGAGUCCAGGAUACAACAUGAGCAGACAUCCCUACAAAGAGAAUGACACAUGCAUUCUAAAAGCAGGUAUCUGCUAGGUAUGAGAGACUGUCCAACCCAGAGCUCAUACCAUCAAGUCCUCCACAGUCCCAUUAUUAGCAAGGGCGAAUCACCCUCCAAAUCAGGCUGUAGCAGAUGUAAUAGCUGAGAAGUGGCUUGGCAGAAUCAUAAAAUCAUGAAGUUGGAAAAGACCACUGAGAUCAGCUAGUCCAACUGUCAACCCAUCAACAGCAUGCCCACUAAACUACCUACACAAACUGUUGCUCCCUGUCUUUUCUGUGAAACAACUGCAAAUCACAUAGAAAUGCCCAUAGAAUGAUUUUAGGCUGCUAUCUCCUAGCUAGGGUAGCUGACAAAAAUUUUUCAAGGCUUACCUAUUUCUACUUUUCAUUCUCAUGGCUACAUUUAAGAUCAUAAAUGACAGUUUCAGGGAUGAAGAAGCUGCCUUACUUAAAUAAAAAUAAGAAGAAAUAAUAGAAGCCAUCCAGAGGGAAUGUGAGAAGUGAUGUUUGCUACUCAAGUAUUACUUUUGGAGGUAUAUUCGGAACAUUUUUAGAAGAAAGUGAACUGUAUAAACAAAUCUUUUUGAAUAUGUUCGUAUAUUCAAUUCCUUCAACCAGUCUCAUGUCGGGUUAUUUCACUUCCUGAAAGGGCAGUUUCUCAGCUGAGAAUGUUAUAUGCAACUAACAUUUAUGCUGGAGUUUCAGAUCAGAGCUAUGCAGAGCAGAUCAGACCUGUGGAGAACUUGUAGACAGCAGACCUUCUUUAAAAGAGAAUCUCUAGAUCUACGUUCUCUUUAGUGAGAGCAUCUAUCAGUCCUUAUGGCUCAAAUGUGAUGCACACAGUCCAUAACAUUCACACCGGUCCUUCUCACAGCUGAACAAACUUCAGUCCAUUCUGGUCCUUCUCCUCAUCAGUGUCCUCUCUUUACUUUAGUUUAUCAGGGAAAUAUAUAAAUAUUUUUCUUGGAGUAAGUUUGAGCUCUUCUAUGCUGCUACAGUUCAGAACUCUAGUUUCUGAAAAUAUAUCUGUGGCUGCUCUGGGGUGUUUGUACCUCUCCUCUGCAUCAGCAGCAGGGACAGGGCAAUGGAGGUGUCUGCACCUGAGCUGCCACACGUAUUAGCUUCAUCUUGCUGACAAAAACACUAUCUUACUACUCUAACAUGAUAGAGGUUCAAGCUAACAUUACACUACCUGAAAUGUCUCUAGCCUAUAGAAAAUACCAUGGGAGCACAGCUGGGAACAGUAACCUCUUGGCUACUAUAGCCCAAUCCAGCUGUGUUUAUGAAUCAGAAUUUGUUCUCUUUUUAUAAGACUUGCCUAUAAUUACCAUUCACAUUUUCCUUCUUGUGUUCUUUUUCUUUCUUUGUCUAUUACUUUUAUUUUCUGUGUUUAUCCACUUCUGAUAAUAACACUUUAGAACAGAGAUCAUGAAUUUUUAAUCCCAGGGAAUGCUAUACAGAUUUCAGGGUUAUAAAAACAUUGAUUUAUCCUUCUUAACUGAAUGUAUCUACUUAUUCACAGGGAUAUUGCAGUGUCAGUGAUACAGAUUAUUUCAGCUAGAAUAUCUCAAGUUAUAUUGUUACAAACACCUAAGAUACAUACUGCAUUCAUGACUGUACAAGCACUUCAAAAAACUUAGAUUAUAUAUUAUCAUAUGACUCAUGGAAGGUAGGAAAAUAGUCUUUCGCUUACUAAACCAGAAUGGAAAACUGAUAAAACUCAGUUUAUCCUGCACAUCCAAUUAAGAUUUGACAGAUUUUGUAUCUAGCCUACAGGAAGCCUCAAGUGAUCUAAGUUGGAAGUUAGGGAGAAUGCAUCUGGGCUGUAGCAAUUUUUUUAUUUUUUCAGAACUCCGAGAGAACUCAAAUCCCCUGCUAAAGCAGGUACCCUACAGUAGGUCACACAGGUCCAGAUAGGUCUUGAAAAUCUCCAUGGAAGGAAAUUCCACAUCUGUGGGCACUGUUCCAGUGUUCUGUUGCCCUUACCUUAAAUAAAUUCUUCCACAUGUUUGAAUGGAACUUCCUAAAGAACCAUUUGUAUGUAUACCCAAGAAGUGCAUCACUAUUAAUAGACCACUUUGUAUCGGUGUACAUGAGUAUCCAGGGUUUCCUCCUGAGUGAACUGAAGUGCUUGAGUAACCCCAACUUGUUAAAUCAAUAGAAGCACUGUCUGUGAAGAGAAACAGUUGAAGACAUUACAUUACUUGCUCACUGUGUGCAGUGGAGAAUCAAAGGCACAUCUGACCUUGACACUCUUUUGUGUGAGAUGAUUGGUCUAAGAUUCUAUGGACAGAUUGCCUGUUUGCAGAACUUCCUCUCUUAAAAAAAUAAAAUUAAAAAAAAAUACAUGUUACUGGUUGCAAUGUGGGGCAAGUCACAUUACCUGCUACUUCUGGAAAACAGUAUCACUGACUUUUCAAAAGCCUUUUUGAUCUCAGACCUCCCCACAAAUCACUGCACUCCUGACACCUUUCUGAUUUCAGCAAGCUCUGACAUUGUCACUUGCUACAUCUCUUACUAGCCGUAAGCCUUCGUGACAUGAACACUUAAUUUUGAUACAUAGAUUAGAUUGUAAUUCUAAUUUUCCCUUAAGCCUUCUUCAUAUCAGAAUUUUGGAAUUGCUUUCAAGAAGGGUCUUAAUAUUGCACAAUUUAUGUUACAUUCUUACCUGUUCGUAGACUUGGAAACCACAGAACUACAUGCUGCUAUGUAUUGUUGCUUCUCUUUUCAGUUUGGAACUUAAAAUCAAGAUCAGAGUAAGCUACCUGUUUUACUUUGAGUGGUAUAACCAUUUAAGUCACUUAGAAAGUAAAUUGUACUUGUGUAAAAUAGCUAUCAAACUUUUAAAAUUGCAAAUAAAUAUAUUACAUAAAAAUUAUAUCAUGCUAUCAGAGUAUUUUCAAAUGUAUUUUAAAUAAACUAUUCUAAAUGUGAUAAACUCUGAAGUUUUUAGGUCUGUACAUCAGAGAGUUUCAAAGUAAAAGGUGAUCAAAUAGGCUACAGAACAGUCGUAAAAUAGGUUAUUGGUAAUAGAAUAUAAAGAGUAUGGAAAACAAGUACAUUUCGUUAAGCAGAAAAGGUAGGUCCAUGAGUAUGGGGAAAGGAAGAGUAGAGGGGAGAAAGGAAGUCAUGAGAAAAAAUAGUAGUAUAGAGAUUAACUGAUUUAUGUGUGUUUUAUGGCAGUGGUUUGGAAUUUAGUAGGUUGUAAAAGACCAGAAGGGCAUAUGUGUAUUUUACAUGAUGCAGCAAUAUCUUUUUAGUUUCAGCAGCCUAAACAAUUCCCAUCUUCAUAUUUAGGUGGGCACAUAUGUUAAUUCAUAUCUGUUUAAGUACAUAGCAGGACUUGAGUUUUCUCCAUUGAAUGUUAAAAAUUUUCCUAUUGAUUUGAAAUAAAAAAUAACACAUUUUCUAAUAUGAUGACCCUUGUGGAAACUUUGACUGAAAAUGAUGAAAAACUAAAUAUCAUUAAAAGGUUGUCUUCAGAUUGCUCCUUACCUUACCACACACACAGUGCUUUAAACUGGAAAAUACUGUAAAGACAUUUGGGACACUAUUUCAGUGAUGUCAUUGUGAUAUUUUGUUGUAAAAUACCAUUGUUGGCAGUGGAGUGUUAUUGUCUGUGGUGCAGUAGUUAGCAAAAGAUUCUAAUUCUAAUGUGUCCAUUUGGACCAAGGUAGAAUAAGUGAAUACAACCUGUACUGUACUGUUGGUAGAGACAGAUAUAAAUAUAUAAUAUAAAAUACAAACAGUUUAUCAAAAGUAAAACAUAAAAUAUAUCUUUUGUAAUGCCUAAACAACUUUAGAUACCUAUACUUGAAGCUCUUCAGUUUGCUUUUGAAGAACAGGAAUGUCAUUUUUUGAUAGAAUGGCUUUCCCAGAAUGUCUUAAGAGCUCCAUUUGUGUUUAGUCAUGCAGAAGUGAUGAAACUGUUGUCUAGUUCAAGAGCAGAGAGUGAACAUUUACAAAAGCAAUGAGAGGCAAGAAAAAAUUAUUUGAGAAGAAACAGUGAGCCCAUUGUGGUAGUACACAAGGUAGGUAGGCAAGGGGAGGACUAGAAGAGGAAUAUUUUUAAAUAUGCCAUUUAAGAAAUACUGACUGAAUUCAGUAAACUUUCCAGUGCUUAAUUAAAAAUUGUAGAUGAUACUAUAAAUAUGGCAAUAGCACACUGACAAACACAGGUCCAUCUCAACAGUUGGUAAAGUUAUCGUAACAAUCAUUUAUGGUCCAUGAGUGGAGGGAAUCCAGGGGAGAUGAGGACCUUUCUUUAGAAAUAUAUAUGAAGACUUUUUCUUUGUGUAAAAAUAAGAAAUAUUAGAGGAUGUCAAAGUGCCAUCAUCCUCACCAUCUGAAAGAGGCAAAGAUAAAAACAGACUGCAGUAACAACUGUGUAAUGUUCUUAUUCACAGUCUGGCAAAAUCUUGGCUAUAUUUCUGUUUGACUGCUUUCCAUGCUACAUCAUCUAUUGUGUUCUGCCUGAUGCACACACACUGUGACUUCAGAACCAGCGAUGUGCACAUGAAGUGUUAUUGGGCAUCUUGUCAACAAAAAAGGACAUAGGCAACAUGUUCACAAAAGCACCCAACACUGUGAGCAGACCAAGCUAUAAGCAUGAAAUUUUUAUUACCCAAGGGAAUUUAUUGAUGUCUUGAACUUGUUCCUUUCAGCUGUGAUGCAUGUUAGGGGCUGGAAGGCACUAAAAACUCAGUAUAGCUUGUGGUAUGAAAAAAAUGAUCAUGUUGUUCAUGAAAAUGGAUGCACAGACACCUGUGAAAUUGAUAUCAGCAGCUGGAAGACUGACAGUAGAGUGGUGCAUAGCAGUUGAAAUAGGAGUAGCUAAUUUUUGGAAGCAAAGGUGAAGCUGUUAUUCAGGUGAGUCAAAAGUAUAUAAUGCAGCUGGCGGUAAUUCCAGUCUCUUUCCACUACCUCCAUAACCAGCAGAGAGAAUUCUCUCUUUAGAUUAAAUAUGAAGAAUGAUACCAUUAGCAUUAUUUCUUAGAUUAUGAAAGAUUAUGCAAGUGUGUCAAAAUCAGAAAGCAGUGAAAACGGUUGAUUGAGUCUUAUAGAGCAUUUGUUAGUAUAAGUGAAUAAUUUCUUCUAACAUGAGACUUCAAUGGAGAAAAUGUUGGGAGCAAGGGAUGAAGAAUAUUUCCAGAGAAACAAUGAAAAUGUAGGUAUUAGAGAAGCAGAUUAAGUAAUACAAGUUAUAUCACAAUAUAUUCAGAUCUAUAGUUGCAGAUGAUGGAACCCUCCCUUCCCUCCUCCUUCCCCCCC